ACGUCCCAAUAAUAAUAUGUAAUUUGGAAUCUUUAGAAAAACAAUUUUAAUUUUAAUUUUUUAAAUAGCCAGUACAUAAGGCGACCGCCUUGUACACCAAGGCGCUAUAAGGCGUCGCCUUCGACGCCUUACAGCGCUUUAGUGUAAAAGGCGAUCGCCUUUCGCGCUACUCUUGAGUCGGCUGAUUGCCUUACCUCUACUGGACCGCACCAGCGCCUUAAAAACUAUGGUGAUGACACCUCGAGAACCGUUUCCACAUCCAAUCGGGUUGGUUCUCAUGGGGCCCACCGGCCCCGCAUUACAAUGACAUGGCAGUGAUAGUGACAUGGCAAUGAUGGCAGUUGUUAGAUUGACUUGACAGAUAUUCUGGGUGAGUUGGUAGAGUUUAUGAUGUAGAAGCAGUGAUUGAACAAUGCACGUUUAGUCAGACAGCUACUGGGCAUGGUAUGCAGUGACAUGGAAGUCAAGGUCAGCAUUGCAGUGAUUCUGAGUCUUAUGAGGCUACUGGCAAGGAUAGGUAAGUUCUAGUAAUGCCUAGGAAGUGUUGGAUAAGUUAGAAAGUUAGAAAGAGUUGUGCAAAUAGGUCAACUUCAGAGAAAAUUUGGGUAGACCAAAUGGCUUGGUUGGAUGAUGAUAUGUACUGAAAAGAUGUAGAGCAUCGAGUCAUCUUUACAACGCAUUUGGAAAUUAUGUCAAUCUGAUUCUGGAUGAGAGAGAUAUAGCUGAUUAAUUACAGUUAGUAUUUGAGGUUCAACUGUUCGAUAAAAUGUUCCAAAGAAGUGCAUUACACAUUCAUAGGUAUUGUGAUACAUGUGAGAUGAUAUGUGGGACCCUUAGAUCCACAACCCCAAGGGUGGACUCUAUGUAUUAGGUGAGAUGUUGGAAGUGAAGGGGCUUGAACACAGUGGCAUUUCGGUCAUUUUGUAUUUUGGCAGGGAUAUUGAGGUAUCCAAACCUAUGUGACACCUUAAGACAUCUCUUAUGAUGUUAAUAUGAUGUCUUAGUAAUGGUGCAAGCAGUGGGUGAAGGCUCUGUAUUGUUAAAAUGAAUAUUUCAUAGGUUCAUGCAUUGACAUCAUGUUUGGGGGUAUUAUUGUAAAUUCAAUUGGCAUAUUUAGAAGGAGACAUGCACAUGAAAGUUGUAGAUCUUUGAGUCAUGCGGCUAAUGCAAUUGGAAUCAUAUCGAUCCGAUAUCGUAGUAAAAAUUUAUAGCAUAAUUUUCAGUCAGUGCACAAGCUGAAAAGUCAGUGACCUACACAUCAUUCGGGUUCAAGCCCGUUUUUGGGAUCUGCGCACUGCACCUGGGUUGAUGGUGUCUUCGUAAAAACUUAGCCUUUCGAGUCUUUUGUACGUAGGAAAAAUGAUGUGGAUCCGGGUUCUAAAAGACUGAAAUCGGAUCACUUAUGGGCCCACGAAAAACAAAAUUUUCAAUCUAGGCAAACCAGGGGCCAUAUUGUAAAUUCUGGUACAAUUUAAGAGCUUUUUAGAUUGAAAUAACUAAGGACUUAAUAGGAAUUAAACCCAAAGAAAAGAGCAGUUCUGAAAAUAAAAAAAUAGUAGUGGGGUUAAAUUGAAAUAAAAUCCAAAAUGAAGGUUAUUUAUGAGAACAUCAGAGAAUAGGAUCUAAUUGUAAAUAAGGAGAAAUACCAUCAGCGACCUUAUGUAACCUUAAGGACACAGAUACGAUAGAACCAGCAGAAGCCGUGUUGGUUUCGAACAGCAAAACUCACUCAGUUGGAAUCCAUGCGAAACGAAACUUUGGAACAGAGAUCGGAAGUCAGUUGGCUAUUGAUUCCAACCAAUAUCAGAUCGGAAGAAGCUGUGACAACCUCGGGAAGAAAUUCGCAACCUGAAUCAGGCGGAGAACCAGAUCUGAUUUCUGGUUUUCAGAUUUGUCUUCUACUAACUUGCAGGAGCUUGGGAUAAACUGCAGGGACUUGUUUGUCUCUGAGAACCCUACCCUCGACCCAAAACCUCAGGGCCACUCGAUGGGAGACCAGUUUUCAGAGACAAGUCUUCGGUUCUGGUAGGUAUUGCCUAGAACAGGGGAAAAAAGAAAAAAAACAGAAAAACAAUGAAGAUAUGAAGAAGAAGAUGAAGAAGUAAUAAUAGAAAGGAAGGUUAAAGAAGAAAAGAGACUAUUAGAAAGGUUAAAACAAAGCACCCACGGCAGCCAUUGUUCAUGGUUCUCACCCAAAAAUCAUCAAGUUCUAAUUCUCCAAAAUUCUGAAUUCUUCAUUGGGUUUACGUCAAUAUAAAGGCAAGCAACAAUGUAAAAAUAGAAACUACUUGAAAGGAAACUACUCUAAAAUUAGAAGCAAACUAAUCCCAAAAGAAAUUGUUUCUAAAACAAAAGGAAAUCAAAUCAAAGAUAUUUUUUUUUUCCUAAAUCUGUCGCCCAAUUGCAUAAAAAAGAAUCGGGCCAAUCGGAGUUCGGAUGAUGAAGAUAUGGCCAUUGUAUGAUUGCGCCGAAAUAGAGCCGACCUGACGCAAACUGGCCGACCACAUACUUCAGCCGGUUGAGGAACCGGUCGACCAGUUGACCAAUUGGAUAAAGCCGGUAAGCUCAUAAUUUUGGUCUAAGCGGAACUGGUUGACCGCUUCAUUAAACCGAUAGAUUGCAUGCGCCAUUUGAGUUACUUGUGAUAGGUCUGGUUUAUCUAAAUUUAGGUCAAAUUUUGGGCAUCUUCUGAGUAGAAUUAGAGGAAUGCUAUUUCUGAAAAAAGUUGUAGAUAUUUGAAUCUAUUUCAGAAGAAACAAGAAUAAUCCCGAUUGGAGUUAUAUAGAAGUUAUGCUCCCCAUAAUGAAGAAAGGUUAGUCUGCCAUACUGGUUUUGGGUUUAGUUUGGCCGGUUAGACCAAGCUCGGGGUUUGGGUCAAUUGUUGGAGUAUUUAAGUGAAAUUUAGGGCUUUUUGUCUCUAACUCUUCCAAGAUAAUAAGAGGAACAAACCCUAGGAGAGAAGGAGAGGAGAAGAGAGAAGAUGGAAGAGAAGAACCAAGUGUGUAUGUGUGCUUUCAUGCCCAAAUCUUGAGAAAUGCCCUUGCUUGAAGAUUUUAGUGUACUGAAUGCUUCAGUAUUGUCACUAGCAAGCUUGAGAAUCUGUUAAAGUUUACAUUGAAGGUUGAAGAUGGUUGUUGGAGUUCAUUAAAGACAAAAAAAGCUCAUUGUGUGUAUCUGGGGCCACCAUCUUCUACACUUGAAGGAUCAAAAUUCUCCAUCAAAAGGGGAAAGUUGAAGAUUCUAGUGUAUUUGGGAAUCUCUGAGAAGCUCUCACCACUUGCUAGUUAAGGGAGAUAAACUCUGUAUACAAGUCCUAAUUUUAUAUGACCUAGGUUGUGAACCACGUAUAUCUUGUGCAGUGUGUAUGUGCUUGUAUAUUGGAGUGCAUGGAUUGUGAAUGCUUGCAGAGUGAGUGUGGCUUUUGGUAGAUCUAGGCAUUGAGUGGUUGCAUGGUUGUGUGUAUUUAACUCUUCUAACAGUGAAUAUGUCGACACAAGUUCAAGUGAACAACAUGAAGUGCCAUCAGAGAGAAUUGUCAGGGUCAUUUCAGAAAGAUUUCUUAGACACUGUUCACCCCCUUCUUAGUGUCAACCUGGGAUUCACAUUGGGAAUUAAGCUAUUACUAGUACAUAGUAUUACUAAAUGUUUAGCUCCCUACAAUUCAGAUGGUAAGUUUGACUUUUGCUCCAUUUUAAGGUUAUAUUUAUGAUCACUAGGUCCAUGAAACUCAUGACUAUCUAGUUGAUUGAUUGCUUUUCAUUAGCCUACAUUGAGAAACGGUUUGAAUUCUUAAAGCUUGUGUAGGUAGUUCAGAUGAUAUGUGAUACUCGCAGUUGGUGCUGAUUGGGUAGCUAGGCCGUAUGAGCAUUGUGGAACAAAAACAUUAGGCUGUACAGUUAAUCAGAACAAAAGAAUAUCAGAAUAUGUGACUUAUGUUUUAAUCAGAAUUGGGCAAAAGAAAAUCAAAAUAUGAUGUGACUUAACGUUUUAGUAUAGAUGGAUAAGUGAAGUUGCUCAAUGCUUACCUUGUUAAUCGAGAUUGCUUUGAUUGUCAAAAAUUUGGUUACAGUUUGAAGCAUUUCCACUCUUCUAGCACCCUAUAGUUUUCAAUAUGAACCCCUAAUAUUCUAUAUUCUGUUGUACCAAAAUUAUUCUUUGAGUGAAAAGCUAAAAUAAUUUGGUUGAGAGUCUGCAUUUUGUCCCAACAAAAGGGAGCAAAUUUUCAUCAAUGCUUUACUGCAUAGACUUGGAACACCAAGCUUAUAUCCAGAUCUACUUUUUCUUCUCUCUCUACAUUGGAUAUACUCUUAGACUUCUCCUUUCCUCCUUUCUCAAAGACUCAAACCUUUCUUAUUUGCUUGCUGGUCCACUCCAUGUUAGCCACUGCUGCAUUGAGACUAACAAUAAAUGUAGCGUGUACUAUUUACGCAUGCAGUCUUCUCUUUCUAUGGUUUGUUUAUUGCAUGUUUUCUUCCUGUCAUGCCAUUAUGAACUAAAAAUCCAGUACAAUAGAAAUAGAAACACAUUAGUUUGAACUUUUCAAACCCAUACUCAAUGACAAUACUGUUCAAAUCAUCCUUGAGUAGCUGAAGGCUUUUUGUUACUGGUCUCAGCCCUCGAGAACAUUGACUGUAUGGAAUCAAUCUAAUCUACACUUAUACUAGGACAAUAGUAGUAGAUGGCUAAGCUUGAAAGAAAAGUUUUAGUCAGAAUCAUCCUACGUGCAAGAGAAAGGAAGUUAACUUUCCAAGUGUUGAAUCUAUUGGUCAAUCUUUCGUAGUUGAUGGUUGGAAGAAAUUGUGUUGGUAAAUGCUUUUAGUGGUUUUUUAUUUUAUUUUAUGGUGACCCUACUGUUGAAGCUUGUUUGUUUCGUAGUAUGUAGACCUAUUAAGAAAGCACAGCCUGGGCUUGGCCAAGUAAGGCAGCUACUUUGCUGAAGUCUGAUUAAGCAUGACUUGACUUCAGCAAAUCCCAAACCAUAGCCUUGACUGCAUUUUGUCCUCAACUGGUAUAUGGCACACCUUGAGGUUUAUGGUGCUUCACCUGAAAUUGAAAUUUCGGACUCUUUAUCUUGUUGUAAAUUGGGUAUAAGGUAGAAUUGUAUUAUAGGGGUAUUUUUGUCUUAUACUCAAUUCUGGAAUGUACCACGCCAUAUUAUAAAUAAAGGAGGCUUGUGUCCAAAGUUAUCAAGGUGGCAAGGCAACCAAGGCAUUGAGGUUCUGCCUGACUACCUUGGUAGGUAUCGCCUUUGUGAACAAAACGUUCUAUUGUUCUUUUUUUAUAUAACCAUUAUAUUUGGGACAAAUAGCAUAUUAAAAAUUAUAUAAUUCUAGUUAUAUGCUAAAAUAAAUAUUAAAGAAUCAUACCGAUGCAAGAUAUUCAUCAUAAUAACAAAUCAACAAAGUGAGUAUACUAUGUAUGGGGGGUUGCUAAUACUAUAAAUCAAAGGACGGCUUAGCACUCUUUUGAUAUUGUAGACAAUGUAUCCUAUAAUCUUUAAUCCAAGUUUUUUUUUUCUAGAAAAAAAAAAAAAAAGAAAAAAAGUGAGUAUAAUAAAAAAAUCGUUCCACCACCUCAAGUCAUAAAAAAUCAAUUUUAAGUCACAUCAAGUCAUAAAAAAUCAAUAUUAAGUCACAUUAAGUCAUAAAAAAUCAAUAUUUAAAAGAAUGGUUCUUGUUUUCUAAUAAGUUUGAUUGGUCAAAUGAUCUUACUUUUACAUGAGACUUUUCAUAUUUAGAUAACACAAAACCAAUUUUCCAACAAGUUUAAGAUUAUUUAAAUAUGAAUUGUAAUGAUAAAGUUAUGCUUUGGUCGAACUUAUUUUCUUGAACUUUUGGAUGUUAGUAAUGUUUCACCAUGAUAAGAUUUAUGAAAAUUUUAAAAUUGAGAAAAACCAUAGCAUUUGAAAGUUGAAAAUUGUUCCUACAACAAAAAAUCCAGUUUUUGUUCUUACAUUUUAUUUAUUUAUUUAAUCAGAAACCAAGAAUUUAUUAAGCAAAACCAGAGAAGGAAAAUUUCUUUCCCAAAGAGUUACAAUGAGUAAUACGCUAGGGGUGCAUGAGACCACCAACAACGAGCCAAAUCAAAUCUAAUAGCUCACUGAGGUAAUGACUGGGCCUUGCUAUUAGAAGCACGAGGUAAAAUUUUAAACUAAACAACGCUAAAGGAAACUAACAACUCAGUAAUGUCCUUCACAAUCAAGGAGGCAGCCCAAUCUAAAGAAGAUGGAAAGCCCUUACAAGCAAGAAUUACAUCAAUCAAUUACUGAAAAUGACAAGAGAAGAGAGGCCUAAAAAUCUAGCCAACAAUAAGCCGUCCCCCAUUGCUUCUACUUUAGUUAUGGCAGUAGAGAAACAAACACGAACUCCACACUAAGCAGCCACAAAACUCCCCGCAACAUACUUUAAAAUCACCCCAAGUCCACUUUUCCCAAAGGAAGCUCGCCAAGCACCAUCCGUAGAUAAGGUAAAAUGAUUCUAGACUGAGGGGGUUGACUUUUUAUCCUUUUGGAAUUUGAUUUUUGACCUAUUUUUAUUUGAUUCAAAUAGAGAGUAUUUUCUUAUUUAUGAAUAAUAUCUUAAGUAAAUGAAAAUAUUUACUUAAAUAAUAUUUGGCAUAAAUAAGUGCCAAAACAGAAGGUGACAAUCGUAUAAGCUGAGGCAAACCACCUGGACGCCUUGGUGGUGCCUUGAUAACUAUGUCUGUGUCCUAUUUGGCACAAGUCAUUAUUCUAUUCAACAUGGUAUCAGAUGCUUAGAUCCAAACCCUAAGGGCUCCAUCUCUCUUUCUCACCUCUCUUUCUCGGUUUUUGUGCUCAACACAUCCCAUCUACACCCCGCUCCAUCGUCUCUCUCUCUCUCUCUCUCUCUACUUCUCUAGAUGGUAGUCUCUGAAACCACCAAGAGAGGCCUCUAGUCCCUUCCAUUAUUCUUUUUGGGCACUUAGAUCUCUCUUCUCUAAUGAUCUGAGUGACCUAGUUCAUCCCUUCAUCACUUUUUAGGGUUUUUAAAUUUCGAUACUAUGGUUGUUCUACCCUGUAUGAUGCAUUGAUCGGCUUGAAGAUGACUCAGUAUGGUGCUACUUAUCCUUGAUAUGGUAUGUAUUAGCCAUGUUAUCAUCUCUAAACUCUAUUCCAGAGCUAUACUCAAAAUCGACUUUGUUAAGGUUUUUAUCCCUUUGUCAAUUUUUGAGCUUUUCAUUGCUUUCUGGUGCUUCUGCUACCUGUGGUGGGUGUACAAGUGUGUUCUAGCCAUUCUUCAUCACUAUAACCUCUUUGAGUGGUAACCAUGUCAGAGAUUUUGACUGGGAACUACAGGUGGUGGUGAUGGAAAUUCUUCUGACACUUUUUCAACUUUCCCUACCUAUGCUAUUAAGCUCGAUGACACUAGCUAUCUAAUGCGGUCACAUUCUUGCAGCAUCUCUAUUAUAUCCCCUCGUCUCAAUGGGUAUCUCACAGGGAUUGCUAUGAAGCCUACUGGUAUAGGUUUGAAUGUUGACAAAUGGAGUGUGAGAAUUCCUUGGUUAUGGCUUUUCUUAUCAAUUCGAUACAACUAUAGAUUCUUGUCACUAUCUCCUUCUCGACUCCUAGGUUGGGAAUGAUGCAUUGGUCGUUGAACUUCAUAAGAAGGUACAUGAACCCAAACAUAGAGAAAUAACUAUGUCACAAUACUACUCUGAGCUUCGAUAUCUGUGCGAAAGUUGGAUUUCUAUGAGUUUCAACCUACCUUUCCUGCUGAUGUUGUUAAGUUUCGGAAGAGGGAAGACAAUAUUUAGGUUUAUGACUUCCUAGCAGGACUCAAUGUCGCAUAUGAUCAGAUCCGUGCCCAUGUUUUGAGUCGUGAUCUCUUUUUCACCAUUGAGUAGUCUUAUGAUGGUUCGGCUUGAAAAUUGCCAUCACAUUACUAUGCUUUCGAAGCCAAGCCCUACUCCAGAAAGAUCAGCCAUUGUCUCUGGCACCCAAACCCAAAGUGACACCCCACAGUCUAGUGGCUCCUCUACCAAAGCUCCUAUGAAGUGACUAUUGCGGUAAGGAAUGCCACACUAAAUAACACUAUUGGAAACUCCAUGGUUGCCCUGUUGAUGCUUUUGGUAAGGGUCGUAGCAACUCAUACUCCAAUCAGAUCAACCACAAUGACGCAUUUGCUGCACCACAUGCUUCCCUCUCCUCUGAGGAGCUACUUCAUUCCAGCGUCUUUUGACCAUAAUGGAGUCUCCUUAACCUACAUUUGCUACUACUGCUUCCACUGUGGCUUUUGCCCCUUCCAGUUCAAGCAUUAUUUUUUGCAGUCAUAGUGCCUUAGACUCAUCCUCCCAAUGGAUCAUUGACUCUUGGGCGUCAGAUCUUAUGAAAGGUUCUCUCCCACUUUUCUCCUAGUAUGUAUACUCCUGCUCUAGUAAAGGUAGAGUUCGUUUAGCAAAUGGAACCCAUUCCCCUAUCUCUGUAGAGGGUUAUGUUUGUUGCUCUCCUACUGUAUCACUUUCCUCAGUUUUAUAUGUUCUUGCUUUUUCCACUAAAUUGCUAUCCAUUAGUAGCAUUACUUCCAAUCUCAAUUGCGAAAUCACUUUUUUCUCUGAUUAUUGUGUUUGCAGGAUCUGGUGACAAGGGCAAUGAUUGGCUCUGAUAUAGUGCAUGGUGUUCUAUAUCUGCUGGAUGAUGGAUCUUCUUUGGUCUCUGGUCAUGCUCUUCAAACUUCCUCCUCAUCUCCUUCUUAGUUACUACAAUGGCACUGACCUUUGGGACAUCUCCCUUUAGGAAGCUAGGAUUUUCCCAUUUAAAAAAAAUUGUAAUUCGAGUGAUUUCUUUUGUGAGGCAUGUGUUUUGGAAAGCAUGUCACACCCCACUCAUGUGAGGAUACCAACUAUGUGAAUAAGAAGCUUACCCAUCUUAUAUC